GGGCCCUCGGGUUGCCAAAACAGACCAUUCCCCAGAACAGUCGCCUAGAAACGGGCGCUGUCAUAGCAGCCUCUCAGCAGCGGCGAGCCAGCCGCGCUGCCAGGAGGAGCUGGGUCAGGGUGUUCAGACCUCCUCAGCACCCCCUCCCCACCCCGUCUCCACCUCAGGGAGGGGAGUGGUGGCUUGGGCCCCUCCUUGGAGCAAGGGAGGGCACUAAUUGGAUUGGAACACUCCAGAAACACAUCAGCUGCUCCUCCCUGGGGGAAAGGAGUGUGAGGGGGAGGCUUCAGACUGUCUUUGUGAUGGGUCUCAGCCUCACCCUCCCUGCAGCCUCGCCCUGAUUUGGUCCUCACCAGCCUCUGCCCACCCGGAACCUCCCUCGGGGCACCACAGCCGACUCGGGGUGGAGGGGAGGGGGCAGACAACAACCAGAUAACCCCGCAAAGAAAUUCAGCCAUAAAGAGGGGUGAGGAAACGGAAGCCCUGAGAAGUUUAAUGUCGUACGGGAUUGCUGCAGAGCUGGGACUUGCACCCGGGCCUCUGGGUUCUAACGUCAAUGAGCGUCACUGUGGCGUUGUACUGCAUGGAGAAGAUCCUGGAAAGGCUUGCAACAAUUUCCAAAGCGGCGAAGGAGUCCUCCUGUUAGAGCAGGUUGGAAACCACUGAGCCGGGCUGUGGAGGCAGCAUGUUAUACCCCCUCAGCAGAGACGGAGUCAUGAGACCUGAGGUCAGGUUCCAGCCCCUCCCCUGGCUGGUUGGAUGAUCUUGGGGGCCAUCCCGUGUGACUUGGAGAGCUUUGGUUUCCUCACCCUGGAGCAGAGAUCACGAAAAUUAUUUGGCUGGAUUGUCAAGAAGAUUAAAUGAGAUAGAUAAAGGGCUUUGGAAGCCGUGAGGCUUUGCGGAAGUGGAAGGAUUGUUGUGGUCAUCUUCUUACUUGCAUGAUCAGCUUCUUAAGGGCAGGGACAGUUCCCUCAGUGACGCCCCUCACCCCCAUCACCUCUUGCACUCACACGGGACUAUGAGAUGACCUCGUAAAAACACCACCAAGUGACUAGCACAGCGGCUCAGCAUACAGCAGGUGCUUAAUAAAUGGUAGCUGCUACGGA